UUAAUGUAUGAGACCACUUAAUAUUACAAUUUAGUCAUAUUUUUCUUUACUUGUAAGUGAGAAAUUAAGGUUAAAUUUAUGCCAAAUAAAUGCAACUAUUGAAAAAAACAUUACCCUAUAAAUAUUAGUUGGUUUCAUAAUAGCGUCCAAAACAAAAUAAAAUUGAAAAUGGGAGCACUUGUUUCCUUCAGCCAGUUCUGGCUGGCGUAGGAAGUAAAGCAGUUGAUGAAAUUGCUGGCGGCUCGAAACCAAGAAGAGAAACCAUUGUCUAUUUGGUGAGUUCCUGCUCGUUCACUACAAGUACUGCAUUUGUGCCUGGCUGUAUUGCAUCCAUCCAAUUAUGCUCAAUUCUUGUUGUAAAAGAUUGCAAUUAAUGCUCGGAAUUGUUGGUGAUUCAGCGACCCAUUUGAAAGUUUUCCAAAAAGAAGCUAUUUUUCUCAGGUCAUAUUCAUCGAAAUCAUCAUUAGUUUCUGAAAAAGAUACACUAGGAGAAAAAUGUGGCUCUUUUACAGAGUCUUACCUUAUGAACUCAUGUGGGUUGUCCCAAAAACUCGCUGUUUCUGUGUCCAAGAAGGUACAAUUUGAUGCCCGAGAAAGACCGGAUUCGGUUCUUAAUCUUCUCAAACACCAUGGAUUCAGUAAAACCCACAUCUCAGAACUUGUUAAGAAACGUCCAAAGUUGCUCUUAGCCAAUGCUGAGAAGAACCUUGUCCCAAAGCUUGAGUUUUUCGCUUCUAUUGGCAUUUCAGGUACCGGCCUUGCUCACAUGGUUUGUAUCAGCCCGGUUGUUUUAGAACGAAGCAUAGAGGGAAGUCUCAUGCCUUGUUAUCAUAUCAUAAAAAGUUUACUUGUUCUCGAUGACUACAAGCUUUCUCGUUUGUUUGCGAACAUUCAGUGGGUAGGGCUGGCCAAAAUGAGAAGCAACAUUGCUCCCAACAUUUCAGUUCUGAGAGCACUUGGAGUGCCAGAAACCUCAAUCUCUUAUUGGGUGUCACAUCGUCCUUUUCUAAUAUCCCUUGAAUCUGACAAGUUUAAGGAAAAUGUCAAGAAGGUCACGAGUAUGGGUGUCCCCCCUUCGUCUGCCUCAUUUAUGAAAGUGCUGUAUGUGAUUACUCGGGUGAAUGAACCAGAAUGGGCACAAAAGAUGGAGCUUUAUAAGAAUUGGGGUUGGACUGAAGAUGAUUUCUUGUUGGCAUUUAGAAAGAAUCCUCAGUUUAUGGAAUUAACAGAGAAGAAUUUUUCGAGUAAAAUGGAUUUUCUUGUGAACAAAAUCGGUUGGCAUCCCGCAGACGUGGCUGGAAGUUCAGUUGCUCUAAAUUAUAGUUUGGAAAAGUAUAUCAUACCAAGGUGCUUAGUUAUUAGAAUUCUUUGGUCGAAAGGCUUGAUAUCAAAGGGAGAAUUUUCUUUAGGUACCCUUGUCAGGAAACCGAAGCAGUACUUCUUGGAUAGGCUUGUAAAUAUCAAGAGCAAGUACCUGAAUUACUUAACAUCUUUGAAGGGAGAUUGAGACUUGCAGAACUGGGCUUAGGAUUUGAGCAAAAGGUGGACGGUGUGAAACAAUUUUAGGAAGAAGCUGCAAUGUUGUUUCUUGUUCGAUGAUUGAAGAUCAACUACACAUCAGAAAAAACCAUCCUACCCGGUGUUAAGAUACAUUCUGCUACACUUGAAUACAGCCUCGGUCAAGUGCCAAUGCUGUUCGUGAUGGUCUGAGGGCAGUUAAAAAUACAGUUGAAGAUGUAGCUGUUGCCUUAGUAAGUUUACGUUUUUUGUUUCUUCUCAGCUAUCAAUUUGUUGCUUGGAGUUUACGUUUUUUUGCACACGAUGCCAAAAAGAAGUAGGAAUGACAAAAACAUUUAGAUCGUAUAAGAUUAUACUUGUGACAUUUCCCGCAGCAGAGCGCGAGCGUUUUUACUAGUAAAAACU